AUGGUACCAGAAAGUGCAUUCCCUGUAAGAGCAAGAAAUUGCAGAGCUCCCAUCUUUUGGAAAUGUGGGAUAGCCCCAGAGAGAGCAUUCCACUGGAGAUCAACAACACGAAGUUUGGAUGAGUUGAACAAAUUAGCUGGGAUCACCCCAGCUAAGUUGUUCCGUGAGAGGGUUAUCUCACCGAGUGACGAACUACUUGCUAAAGAAUCAGGGAUAACUCCACUAAGAGAAUUGUUUGCAAGAUUGACAUAGCUAAGAGAUGCUGACGCACCUAUUGACAGAGGUAUGUUACCUGCAAGAUUGUUGCCCGCAAGAUUCAGGGAUUGGAGGCUCCAAAGCUCACUUAUCUCAUCAGGUAUGCUUCCAGAAAAUUGAUUGCUUGGAAGGUCGAUCUGCACUAGAGAAGUAAGGGCUGCUAUGCAACUGGAUAGUGUUCCUGUGAGCCCCGUAGACCUGAAUUGGAUGGACACGACACGGGUUGGGAUAGCCGUGCUGCAGGCGACUCCUUGCCAGGUGCAGAAGUUGAGUGAGUCGUUGCGCCAUGAUCUGAGAACACCGGCGGGGUCCCUUGAGACGCCAGCUUUGAAGCAGAGAAGGGCUUGGCGGUCAUCCUCGGAUUUGUUGCUAGCUUGUGCUGAUGUGAACACUAUUGUGUUGGAGGACAGAAAUAGGAGGAUGGCACAGAGAAGAAAGAGUGCAUGGUGGGAAGGAACAAUCAGAGAUCGGGUGCGAAAAACUUGA
rnacentral:rRNA from 1 species